GAUGAAGAACGCAGCGAAAUGCGAUAAGUAAUGUGAAUUGCAGAAUUCAGUGAAUCAUCGAAUCUUUGAACGCACAUUGCGCCCCCUGGUAUUCCGGGGGGCAUGCCUGUUCGAGCGUCAUUUCACCACUCAAGCCUCGCUUGGUAUUGGGCAACGCGGUCCGCCGCGUGCCUCAAAUCGACCGGCUGGGUCUUCUGUCCCCUAAGCGUUGUGGAAACUAUUCGCUAAAGGGUGUUCGGGAGGCUACGCCGUAAAACAACCCCAUUUCUAAGGUUGACCUCGGAUCAGGUAGGGAUACCCGCUGAACUUAAGCAUAUCAACAAGCGGAGGA
rnacentral:misc_RNA from 1 species